rnacentral:rRNA from 1 species
AGAGUUGAUUUUAUUGAUUAGAUUGUCCUUGUUGAGCAAAAGGUAAGUUUAAAAGAAUUGGCAGUAUUUAGAUAAAUUCUGAGGAACUUGUUUGAUUAAAAUGAUAAUACGCAUGAAAAUUUUAUCUUGUUUAAUAUGUUUGGUUUAUGUAUUGCUGUUGAAUUUAUUGGUUGUAAGAAUAAAUAAAAUAAAUAAGAUUUAAUAUAAUUAGAAAAGUUAAAAUAAUUCAAGUCAAAAUGUAGUUUUAAUAAGGUUUAAAUGAGUUACUUUUUAAAGUAAAUAAGAUACAGAAUAGAUUAUAUGAAAUAAAAUUUAUGAAGUUGGAUUAGGUUGUAAAUAAAUAAUAUUUUGAUUUUUUGAUAUAAAUUUCUAGUAUGU